rnacentral:rRNA from 1 species
GAGGAGCCCGCGCACGAUUAGCUAGUUGGUAGGGUAAUGGCCUACCAAGGCUUUGAUCGUUAGCUGGUCUGAGAGGAUGGCCAGCCACACUGGAACCGAGACACGGUCCAGACUCCUACGGGAGGCAGCAGUGGGGAAUCUUGCACAAUGGGCGAAAGCCUGAUGCAGCGACGCCGCGUGGGGGAUGAAGCUUCUCGGAGUGUAAACCCCUUUCGACCCGGACGAAUGCCCGCAAGGGAGUAACGGUACGGAUAUAAGAAGCCCCGGCUAACUACGUGCCAGCAGCCGCGGUAAGACGUAGGGGGCCAGCGUUGUUCGGAAUUACUGGGUGUAAAGGGUUCGUAGGCGGUGCGGCAAAUCGGGAGUGAAAUCUCUGGGCUCAACCCAGAGGCUGCUUCCGAAACUGCUGUGCUUGAGUGUGGGAGAGGCGCGUGGAAUUGCAGGUGUAGCGGUGAAAUGCGUAGAUAUCUGCAGG